rnacentral:rRNA from 1 species
AUUGCACGCUGGCUGCAGGCCAAACACAUGCAAGUCGAGCGGAGCGGCGGACGGGUGAGUAAUGCCUAGGAAUCUGCCUGGUAGUGGGGGAUAACGUCCGGAAACGGGCGCUAAUACCGCAUACUAUCAGAUGAGCCUAGUUCGGACUAGCUAGUUGGUAGGGUAAAGGCCUACCAUGGCGACGAUCCGUAACUGGUCUGAGAGGAUGAUCAGUCACACUGGAACUGAGACACGGUCCAGACUCCUACGGGAGGCAGCAGUGGGGAAUAUUGGACAAUGGGCGAAAGCCGGAUACAGCAAUGGCGCGUGUGUGAAGAAGGUCUUCGGAUUGUAAAGCACUUUAAGUUGGGAGGCGUUACCAACAGAAUAAGCACCGGCUAACUUCGUGCCAGCAGCCGCGGUAAUUC